rnacentral:rRNA from 1 species
UACGUAGGGGGCAAGCGUUGUCCGGAAUCAUUGGGCGUAAAGGGCGCGUAGGUGGCUUCUUAAGCGUGCGGUGAAAGCCUGGGGCUCAACCCCGGGUCGGCCGUGCGAACUGGGGGGCUGGAGCACUGUAGAGGCAGGCGGAAUUCCGGGUGUAGCGGUGGAAUGCGUAGAGAUCCGGAAGAACACCGGUGGCGAAGGCGGCCUGCUGGGCAGUUGCUGACACUGAGGCGCGACAGCGUGGGGAGCAAACAGG